AUUGAACGCUGGCGGCAGGCCUAACACAUGCAAGUCGAGCGGAGCGGCGGACGGGUGAGUAAUGCCUAGGAAUCUGCCUGGUAGAGGGGGAUAACGUCCGGAAACGAGCGCUAAUACCGCAUACUAUCAGAUGAGCCUAGGUCGGAUUAGCUAGUUGGUGGGGUAAAGGCCUACAAAGGCGACGGUCCGUAACUGGUCUGAGAGGAUGAUCAGUCACACUGGAACUGAGACACGGGGCAGACUCCUACGGGAGGCAGCAGUGGGGAAUAUUGGACAAUGGGCGAAAGCCUGAUCGAGCCAUGCCGCGUGUGUGAAGAAGGCCUUCGGUUGGUAAAGUACUUUCAGCAGGGAGGCGUUACCCGCAGAAGAAGCACCGGCUAACUCCGUGCCAGCAGCCGCGGUAAGAC
rnacentral:rRNA from 1 species